GAUGAACGCUGGCGGCGUGCCUAAUACAUGCAAGUCGAGCGAACAGACGAGGAGCUUGCUCCUCUGACGUUAGCGGCGGACGGGUGAGUAACACGUGGAUAACCUACCUAUAAGACUGGGAUCACUUCGGGAAACCGGAGCUAAUACCGGAUAAUAUAUUGCACCGCAUGGUUCAAUAGUGAAAGACGGUUUUGCUGUCACUUAUAGAUGGAUCCGCGCCGCAUUAGCUAGUUGGUAAGUUAACGGCUUACCACGGCGACGAUGCGUAGCCGACCUGAGAGGGGGGUCGGCCACACGGGAACUGAGACGCGCUCCAGACUCCUACGGGAGGCAGCAGUAGCGAAUCUUCCGCAAUGGGCGAAAGCCUGGCGGAGCAACGCCGCGUGAGUGAUGAAGGUCUUCGGAUCGUAAAACUCUGUUAUUAGUGAAGAACAAAUGUGUAAGUAACUAUGCACGUCUUGACGGUACCGAAUCAGAAAGCCACGGCUAACUACGUG
rnacentral:rRNA from 1 species